rnacentral:rRNA from 1 species
GAUGAACGCUGGCGGCGUGCCUAAUACAUGCAAGUCGAGCGAACGGACGAGAAGCUUGCUUCUCUGAUGUUAGCGGCGGACGUGUGAGUAACACGUGUAUAACCUACCUAUAAGUCUGGUAUAACUUCGGGAAACCGGAGCUAAUACCGGAUAAUAUUUUGAACCGCAUGGUUCAAAAGUGAAAGACGGUCUUGCUGUCACUUAUAGAUGCAUCCGCGCUGCAUUAGCUAGUUGGUAAGGUAACGGCUUACCAAGGCAACGAUGCAUAGCCGACGUGAGAGAGUGAUCGGCGACACUGGAACUGAGCCACGGUCCAGACUACUACGGGAGGCAGCAGUAGGGAAUCUUCCGCAAUGGGCGAAAGCAUGACGGAGCAAGGCCGAGUGAGUGAUGAAGGUCUUCGGAUCGUAAAACUCGGUUAUUAGGGAAGAACAGAUGUGUAAGUAACUGUGCACAUCGUGACGGUACCUAAUCAGAAAGCCCCGGCUAACUACGUG